rnacentral:snoRNA from 1 species
CUUAUAUGAUGAGUAACCAGAUAGGGACAACAGACUCGUAUGAAUGACGAGGAAAGUCUAAUAAUGCCCAGUUUUUAGUAGAGCUUGGGCGCUUUUCUGAUA